AGUCACUAAUGGCAUUUUUGU
rnacentral:miRNA from 1 species